AUGUCCCUCAGCCGGAAACUGUUGGAUAGGGAGACCAGAACCAAGACAAGUUUAGCAAGCUGUAAAUAUGCAGAUCUGUACGUAACCAAAGGAGCUGGUGACUGGUGACCUACUAUAAAGACUUUCUUUCCAAGACAGCCAAUUCAGCAUCUUAAAUUACAUUCAUUCUUCUUUUAACCAGAAAGAAAGACGCCCAAAUAAAAAGCCUGUACCUCGAAAAACGCACAGAUCUCCUCAUCUGUCCUCACAAUGAAGAAACGCUCUUUUCUGGCUUCUUGGAGUCACCUUAUUUCCAGUCCCUUCCUGAUGACUUCUGUUCCCUUUGUGACUCCAUUAAAAUUUUGUCAAAUGUAUCUGAUUUUUGUUCUGCUUUUUGACCUUGUUUUCAGCUACUGGAACUUAAGACCAGU